rnacentral:rRNA from 1 species
GACGAACGCUGGCGGCGUGCUUAACACAUGCAAGUCGAGCGGAAAGGCCACUUCGGUGGUACUCGAGCGGCGAACGGGUGAGUAACACGUGAGUAAUCUGCCCCUGGCUUUGGGAUAGCCACCGGAAACGGUGAUUAAUACCGGAUAUGACCACUUCACGCAUGUGAUGGUGGUGGAAAGUUUUUCGGCCAGGGAUGUGCUCGCGGCCUAUCAGCUUGAUGGUGAGGUAAUGGCUCACCAUGGCUUCGACGGGUAGCCGGCCUGAGAGGGUGACCGGUCACACGGGGACUGAGACACGGCCCAGACUCCUACGGGAGGCAGCAGUGGGGAAUAUUGGACAAUGGGCGGAAGCCUGAUCCAGCAACGCCGCGUGAGGGAUGACGGCCCUCGGGUUGUAAACCUCUUUCGCCUGUGACGAAGCACAAGUGACGGUAACAGGUAAAGAAGCACCGGCCAACUACGUGCCAGCAGCCGCCGCCGUAA